AGGGAUGUAGCUCAGUGGUAGGGCAUCUGCCUUACUUGCAGAUGUCCCAGGUUCAAUCCCUGGCAUCUCCU